UCCCGCUGAGCAAGGAGCCCAAUGCAGGGCUUGAUCACAGGACCCUGGGAUCUUGACCCAAGCCAAAGGCAGACACCCAAUGUCUGAGCCACCCAGGCACCCUGUGAGUGCAUACUUUUAAAACAGGUUUAUUGAGGUGUAAUCUAUGUAUCAUAAAAUUCACCCAUUUUAUUUGUAUCAUUCAUUAAUUUUUAGUAAAUGUGUGGAGUUUUGCAACCAUCAGUCAACGCUGCCAAGUUUUAAAACAUUCCAUUACCCUGAAAAGGCCUUUGUGUCUUUUUGCAGUUAAUCUCUCUUCCUACCUUCCAGCCCCAGGCCAACACAAAUCUGUUUUCCAUCUCUAUAUAUUUGCCUUUUCUGGGCAUUUCAUAUAAGUAAAAUUAUGCAAUAUGGAUUCUUUCUCUUGGCAGAAUAUUUUUUAAGAUCAUCCAUGUUGCAAUAGGUGUUAGUAGUUUCGUUGCUGAAUUAUAGUGCAUUUAUGGAUAUGCCCCAUUUUGUUUAUCCAUGCAAUGGUUGACAGACAUUAGAUGGUUUCCACUUUUGGGCUGUUAUGAGUAAUGUUGUUAUGAGCAUCUGUUUACCAGUCUCUGUGUAGACUUUGUAUUUUCAUUUCUCUUGGGCAGACACCAAGGAGUGGAAUUGUUGGACUGUGUGUUAAUUUAUGUUUAACUCUUUAAGACCCUACCAAACUAUUUUCCAAAGUGAUCAUAUUUUAUUCUGUGGAUUUUUAGGCAGAAGAAAGAGUUGGUUUUCCGUUCUUCCUAAAUUGAAAAACAAACUCAGAAGUUGAGUGAGAAAUCAAUCUCAUUUUAAAAGAAUUUAUAACAGUAGGUACCUGAGUUUAUAAAAUGUUUCAUUGAAACAAAUUUCAAAAAAGAACUCUUAAAAUGGCCACCACCUAGCUAACUGAAGUUAUUACAGUUGAUUCCAGUUGUUUUUGUUCUUGUGGACCAAAUCAAGACAGAGAAAUAUGCAUGAUCAUCUAUUUUUUGUUAGCACCAAAUCAUUUUCCUACUGUUUACCUAGUGAACUCCCUCUGCUUGAUUUGCGAUGAAGUAAGUCUUGGAGAGUUGAUUGUGUGGCAACUACCUCACUCAGGGAAUUGCUUCAUGAACUUACAAUCAUCCAUAAGGUCCUCUCAGAAUGAGAAUUCAGAAAUAGUUCUCUAGGCAAGAGGUUUUGAUCUAGGAAUCGAUUGAGAGCUAUUGGGGGAAAUACUGUUGCCAAUAGUAAUUUGUUCAAACCUGGCUUUUCAGCAAUAAAUGUAAUUCAAGUGGGGAGGGAAUUAUCAUUACUCCUGAAAACCAACACAGUGCUCUGGCCCAGGCUAUCCGGUUUCAGAGGAGAAUGGCUAACAUGUUCAAAAUUUUCUACUCAGAAGAUGAUAUUUUGUGAAGUAUAUUUCAUAGUAUACUGUAUCACAUGGUCCCUGUACUAAAAGCAAACAACCCAGAACUAACUGUUCAUCUGAAUGCUGAUCUUUUAUAGGGGACCUCUAAUCCUCCCACAGAGAGAGGCUGAUGACCAAAGAGAUCAUUUCAAGUAAGAUAAGCAAGCCAUUAUUUAGCUUUGUCUUUAGAAUACAGUGUGUAUUUUAUUGGAGGAAUAAAGAAAGUAUGGUAGAAAAGGUAGGUGUGAGAUUUGUUAGGUUACUACCAUAAUUUUGGGUGAGGAUCUUCUUAAAAAUUAGUUUUUGUUCUUUAAGCACAGAACAAUGAAUAGUUGAAGCAACUGCUCCCCCACAAAGAGGAAAUCAUCCUGGAAUUAAUAAUGUUGUUUGAGGAGCCCAUUGAGUGGAUAAGCAACAAAUGGAUUGCUAAGACAUGACUAUAUUUUACUGGAGUAUAAUAAUAGUCCCCUUCCUAAGGAGUAAAAAAAAAUCCAGAGGCAAAGUCAAUGUAGUAAGACUCUUUUAUCUCUUUCCAACAUCAGAGAUAAAUGACAUUAGAAAAUUAAAAAAGGACUUUUCUCCAGCUCACAACUAGUGGUACAGUGAAAUUAGGGUGCGUGUUAAUUUAGCAGAGUCUUCCACCAAUAUUGAGAGUCUAGGUUUGCCUUAAGAAAAGUUGAGGAUCCAUCAGUGUGAUUCUUCUGGAAUCCAGGAGUGUUCUCUUGACAAAAAUUUCGGGCUUCCUCCCAUGUUCCUGAAAUCCCUUAGUUCUCCCAUGAGAUCGUUAGGUACAGAAUGCUUGUAUUUACAAAAUGAAUCAAAAUAUUUUUUUUUAAUUGAGGACUCAAUAAAAUAACAAACAGCUGGAAAGAAGCAGACUACUGUAAGAGUGAAU